rnacentral:pre_miRNA from 1 species
AAAUAGUUGCUGCUGAAUAUUUGGGAUCAGAAAUUAGAGAGCCACCUUGGCUUAACUAUGAGAUGAAUUGGGGUCCAAGGGAAGGGCCUAAAGGUCCAAAACAAAAGGAUUUUUGGAAAGGAGACGAACGGUGAGUCGUUCUUAUGAUGUUUUUCACCCGUGAUUGACCUUUUGUUUAAUAUUCAAGUCUGGCUUGGUUGUGUAUUUUUUUUUCUUAUUGUUUUUGUAUACCCUAUUA